GUUUGACAUGUAAAGAAAGAGCUGCAGCAGAUGAAACAUGCUCCCUCCGUGCAGCGACACGGUUCUGUCAAAUCUACAUAAAGAUCACCAGAUGUGCUGCAAGAUGCAACAAGGGGGCAAAAGGGGGAGGUCUCUCUCUCUAGUUGCCCUGCCCUCCCUCCUCUCACCCAGACAUGUGCACUCAGCACACGGCUUCAGCUCUCCAACAACUGAUGCACGGUCAGCUGCUCUUCUCCCUUCCCCUCCUCACUGCUCUCCUUCUUCCGUUUCUUCCCCACAACCGCCUCUAUUCAUCCCCUCCGUACUUUACCCCUCUUCCUUUCCUCUGCCCCGUCAUUCUGCCCUGCACUUUUCUCCCCGGGCGGAUACAGAGGCAGGUCCUGUUGGAAGGAGAGGGCUUGUGUAAUCUCUGCCCGAGAGUCGUCGCUGCAGCUGGAAAAGCAACAGAAGAGUCGCUGGAGGUGGAAGCCCUGGGAUAGCAGGAGGAAGAAGGAGUACCUCUGAGGGAAGAAAGAAAGGAGGGAAAAGCUCCAGAAGAGAUCUGGAGCUGAGGCAGCAGGACCAUGCCGGGCUGUCUGCUGCUGCUGUCCCUGCUGGUCCUGUCCACAGGAAGUGAUGCCAAAAGAAUCAGGAAAAGAGGACUCAACCAUAAGGACUACGAGUAUCCAAACCACCCCCAGUCCACACAGCACCAAAAGAACGACCGGUGUCCACCUCCACCCCAGAUGCUGCCGGAGCGAGCCUGCGAGGUUCCGGGCUGCCGCUCAGACUCGGAGUGUGAACGCCACAAACGCUGCUGCUACAACGGCUGCAUCUACGCCUGUCUGGAGUCUGUUCAGCCGCCACCAGUGCUGGACUGGCUGGUGCAGCCGAAGCCUCGGUGGUUGGGGGGCAACGGCUGGCUGUUAGACGGUCCUGAGGAGGUCCUGCAAGCUGAGGCCUGCAGUACGACUGAGGACGGAGACGAGCCUCUUCACUGUCCUACAGGCUACGAAUGUCACAUCAUCAACCCAGGAAACCCGGCUGCUGGCAUCCCAAACCGAGGGCAGUGCAUCAAGCAACGUGGAAACUCUGAUGGACGUGGUUUGAGGCACAAAUACUUUAAGGACUACAAGGACUACUUGGGUAAGUAGUGUACUGGUUCCAACAAUGCAGUAGGCUACGAAAAACAUCAUCACAAGCACCUGGGAUGAAAUCAACAGACCUCAGCUUUAUCUACGACCACAACUCAACCUCAGACAUCAGCCCAGUCCUGUCUGAGCUGCUCACACCUGAACCAGGACCACAUCUGACCGUUUUAACUCCACCUACAGCUGCUACCUCCUCGUCUCGCAGUCUUUUCUUCAGUCUGUCUUCUGAGGAGACGAGUCUGAUGCACCUACAGCCAAAGAAACCAGUGCUUUAUGUGUCUCUGUGUCUGCUAAAGGAAGCACAAAGGGAGAGAGCAGGGUGUGCACCAAAGCUGUUUGUCAGAAAGUCUCAAAGGAAAUAAGGAGCCUGUGCCAUUUUUCAUUUCUUUCCAGGCGUCUCCCGUUCUAUAACUCGUUGUUAUUCUCACACACUGACGUGUUCUCUAACCUUCAGGCUGGUCAGCAGAGAAAAUCAAGACCAUGUGGCUCUUUAACUGAUCCUCAGAAGUGUUGCGCUCACAGUUCUCCUGAAAUCUGGAAAGUUUUAUGGACAAAGACAAACAAAGUUCAGGUGUAGUCGGCACAUCGUUGAAUCAAACCCAAAUGUGAUUAAAUGUUUGAGCUAAUAAGUCCAAUUAAAAUAAUUGAUGGCAUGUGAGAGUGACAGCUUUGGAGGAUUUAGCACAGCUUGUUUCACCCAACAGAUGGUGACUGGGAUUUUAUUGCUAUGAGAAGCGACAGUAGAAUGAGUUAAAAUAGUUUAUUUCAGAUGCUUAUUUGAGAGACUUCAUCUCUGAAGGAAGAAAGCUUUGAAAACCACAUUUAAAUAAACUUACAGAAGGCAAGUGUUUGGUACCAAAAAGUCAGAUUUUGAGUGAAAAUUAAACUCUGCAUUUAUCACAUCUGGAUUAAUUUAUGGAAACAGAUUUUCUGAAGUGAUGCCUUUAAUUAUGGAAGUCAUACUACAAACCAGUUAAAUAUAAUCAUUCAUAGUUGUCAUGUGUUUUUUGUUUCAUCUGGAGUCAAAAUUAGGUUCUGGUGAACAAAAUAACGUUCAGUGAUCGUCCCUGAUGCAGUACAGACACGCUAACAGAAAGAAACUUUGCACAGUACAGAUUUAUAGAAACUGAUCUUUAUGCUUCAGCGAACUGUUCAGGUUAAAUCAUCUCUGUUCUAAACUCAAAUGGUGCUCCGUUUAAAUGCUGCCUCUACCAAUAACAGGACAAUAAGCUGGUCAGUGAUAAGCUGAAGGUGUGAAACGAAAUAAAGUGAUGAAGUGUGAAUGUUGCUGUCCUACUGGUGCUGCCGAGUUUAUUCUAAAUAAACCACAUUAUUGAAUAAAA